rnacentral:rRNA from 1 species
UGGGGAAUUUUGCGCAAUGGGCGAAAGCCUGACGCAGCAACGCCGCGUGAGUGAUGAAGGCUUUCGGGUCGUAAAGCUCUGUCAAGGGGAAAGAAGUGUAUUGUGGUUAAUACCCAUGAUGCUUGACGGUACCCCUAAAGGAAGCACCGGCUAACUCCGUGCCAGCAGCCGCGGUAAUACGGGGGGUGCAAGCGUUGUUCGGAAUUAUUGGGCGUAAAGGGCGUGGAGGCGGUUUGUUAAGUCUGAUGUGAAAUCCCCGGGCUCAACCGGGGAAGUGCAUGGGAAACUGGCAGACUUGAAUACGGGAGAGGUUAGUGGAAUUCCUGGUGUAGGGGUGAAAUCCGUAGAUAUCAGGAGGAACACCUGUGGCGAAGGCGGCUGCCUGGACCGAUAUUGACGCUGAGACGCGAAAGCGUGGGUAGCAAACA